GUUUUAAUUAAGUCAGCUUGAGUGGUCCAUAUUCACUGCCAAGGCUGUUGUAGCGAGCUCUGGCGCUGGGUGCUCGGUGGGAAUCAGCUGGAGCCGUAGCCAAGCCUCUCAUAAGCUCAAUUCAUGACCUGCGGUCCCAGAGAGGGGAUUCAUCGCCACUUGUCGUGUGGGAAGUGGAUUACAGCCAAGUGCCUCCACGCCUUGGAAAGGCUGCUGUUCUGUUGUGCUGUGGAUUUGUGGAUG